CUGAGAGCCGCCGGGGACAGCAGGAGGCAGCGCCCGCCUGGAGAUACUCGUAGUCUGUAGCUGUGUCUGCCGAGAGGAGCCUGGAUUCCUGCGCGAGCCUCGGAUGAGAAUGAUCUUAGGAAAGCCUGGCAGCCUUUUGCAAAGUCUUUGAAGGGGACCAGGAGAACAGGCAGUGCUGCUUGGGAUGAGAGGAACAAUGGGACAUCCCCAGUCUGGAAAUCGCUGCUUUGGAGCUGCCAUCUGAUGUAUGGAUAUCCAUAAAAGAUCUAUCCAAUGCC